AUGACAUACAAAAGAGUUGUGAAUAAGCUCCCAUAAGCGUAUGAUUAAUGGCUCGCCAAAGGUACAAAAAUGCAUGGCGCAAAUUGUUUUUAAUGUAUAUGCAAUUUUUAAGAGAGAAAAAUAUAUUUAUGUUUUCAUUUAAGUAUAUAAUUUUCAUUUUAUAACAUCCAGUAUAUUUAGUAACCUAGGUUUUAGUUUUAAGCUAUUGAAUUGAAAGAAAAAAAAUUCGAGAAGUUCAAAUUAUUUUAUUUUAACUUUUAUUUAUUUAUUUAUCCGAAAUAAAUCAAGGGGAAAUGGUUAUUGAUGGAGCCUAUAACUAUGGUUAGAUAAAUAAAACUAGGUUUUAUUUUCCUCAGCCUAUUGACGCUUUGCCCAAAACAGUCGUUCAAAGCAAUUGCAAAAAACAUGGGUUGGACACUUCAGAUAAUGAACCUUCUAACACCACUGCUCUGGAUAUUAACCUCAAUAUUUCUUAUCUUAUACUUUUAUAUAUAUACUUUAAGGUGUUUAUAAUGUACCAUAAAAAUUUCUAUAUUUUAACACUAGACUUAUGUGUUUAGAAUACAGAAGUAACCUGAUGAAAAUUAUGAUAGUGACUCACAAGAUUUUAAUGAACAUCAAGAAUUAAAAAAGUCAUGCCUGCAGACACCUGUCUCUGUAUUAAACAAAAGUAAAACAAGAUUGGAAAAAGUGAUCAUAAUUACCUCUGUGAUUAAGUGAAGGGAGUUCCCAAAAAGGAAAGGAGCAAAAAAAUUGAGUUGGACAGGGCAAGAAGCAAUACGAAGAAAUUUGCUGACAAAAGAUACCACACAGCGAAAUUUAAAAGGCAGUUGUGGCUUUUUUUAUUGGAGCUCUAGACAGAAAUAGAGGCAGAAAAGAAAGAGCAGAAAAAAAGUCCAUCCAAAAAACCAGUUCAACAAAAAAUCGUGGCUAUACUGCCUAAUCAUUGACAUUGAAACCUUUAUCUGGAUUAUCAUUACCACGCUUUGAACGCUUUAUUUUUGAUGAAUCUGACAAAGUAUAAUGUUCUAAAAGUCUUGCAUGAUCUGUUUUAUAUGUUAUGUUUUAUAUUAAUUGUAUAUUUGACAUUAUUAUAAGC